UACGUAGGGUGCAAGCGUUGUCCGGAAUUAUUGGGCGUAAAGAGCUCGUAGGUGGCGGGUCACGUCGGGUGUGAAAGCCCGGGGCUUAACCCCGGGUCUGCAUUCGAUACGGGUCUGCUGGGGUCCGGCAGGGGAGACUGGAAUUCCUGGUGUAGCGGUGAAUGACGCAGAUAUCAGGAGGAACACCGGUGGCGAAGGCGGG
rnacentral:rRNA from 1 species